rnacentral:rRNA from 1 species
CCGGCGAUUUCCGAAUGGGGAAACCCAGUGUGAUUCGUCACACUAUCAUUAACUGAAUCCAUAGGUUAAUGAGGCGAACCGGGGGAACUGAAACAUCUAAGUACCCCGAGGAAAAGAAAUCAACCGAGAUUCCCCCAGUAGCGGCGAGCGAACGGGGAGGAGCCCAGAGCCUGAAUCAGCAUGUGUGUUAGUGGAAGCGUCUGGAAAGGCGCGCGAUACAGGGUGACAGCCCCGUACACAAAAGCGCAUGUGCUGUGAGCUCGAUGAGUAGGGCGGGACACGUGGUAUCCUGUCUGAAUAUGGGGGGACCAUCCUCCAAGGCUAAAUACUCCUGACUGACCGAUAGUGAACCAGUACCGUGAGGGAAAGGCGAAAAGAACCCCGGCGAGGGGAGUGAAAAAGAACCUGAAACCGUGUACGUACAAGCAGUGGGAGCACAGGUUUACCUGUGUGACUGCGUACCUUUUGUAUAAUGGGUCAGCGACUUAUAUUCUGUAGCAAGGUUA